rnacentral:rRNA from 1 species
AUUGAACGCUGGCGGCAUGCCUUACACAUGCAAGUCGAACGGCAGCGCGGGAGCAAUCCUGGCGGCGAGUGGUGAACGGGUGAGUAAUACAUCUGAACGUGCCCAAUCGUGGGGGAUAACGCAGCGAUAGCUGUGCUAAUACCUCAUACGAUCUACGGAUGAAAGCAGGUGAUCGCAAGACCUUGCGCGUAUGUAGUGGCCGAUGGCAGAUUAGGUAGUUCGUGAGGUAACGGCUCACCAAGCCUUCUAUCUGUAGCUGGUCUGAGAGGACGACCAGACAGAUGGGGAGUGAGACACGGCCGAGACUCCGACGGGGGGAAGCAGCGGAGAAUUUUAGACAAUGGGGGAGAGCGGGAUCCAAGAAUGCCGGGUGAAGGAUGAAGGAGUUAGGGUGGGAAACUGAUGAUGGACGGAGGGAAACAAUGUUUUCUAAGAAAGAAAGAUAAUGACGGUACCGGAAGAAGAAGCACCGGCUAACUACGUG